ensembl:lncRNA
CAAGCAUAUGGCAGGAGCAGCUACCUCCUGCUGCUGAGGCUUCCCACCAAGAUGGACUCACCCCCAGACUGCGAGCCAAAGUCAACCAUUCCCUAGGUUGCUUUUAUCUGGUAUCUGUUGUAGCAACGGAAAGGGGGCCUAAUACAGAAGCUAAUUUUGUUGGAUCAAAAUCAAGGUGCUCAAAGGGCUGGACUUCUUCUGGAGGCCUAGGAAUAAAUUAAUCUCCUUCCCUCUUCUGGUUUCUGAUGGCGGCUGGCAUGGCUUGGCCGGUGGUGGCCUUGUCACUCAGCCCUGCCUGUGUGGUCACCGUCAUCCUUCCUCUCUGUGAGGAGUCUCCUUUGCACUUGGGCCAGCAUCGAGGCCCUGCCUGGGUCAUCUCACACAUCCAUGUCUAUAAUUCAGCAGGACCUGCAAAGAUUUUUAUCCUGUGUUUAAGUUCUCGGUCUACGCUGCAACACUCAAGGAUCCAGAUACCCGGACUCAGGAAGAAAAGCAGCAACGGGCACACAUCCUGCAAGCUCAGACUCUCUAGGGCUCUGAGCCAGUAAAUCACCAGACUUCUCCAUGGGUCUGUCACCUUGGACACGUGAUUUUGCAACUGUGAUGGUGGCCAUACGGCAAGACCAGACCCCAAAGUGGAUGAGCCCAUGCAACCCCGUCAUCACUGGGAUCCCCAUGAGGAGAAAGCCAGCUCAAUCUGGCUUGAACAUCCAUGCAUAGCGCUGUGUGCUUGUACUGCAGAGGCAUCUGCACCAGGUGUGUGGUGAGGCGAGGCCCUCGGGAGCCAACCCCGCCCUGGAGCGCCUCAGUGAUGGGAGAACCACAGAAAAGCCCAGACAGGACCACCAGGUCUAGGUUUACAAACUGCUUCUUCCUCCUUCUCCUUCUGAAGCCACAGGAACACCUGAGUCCCGCUGGGGAGUCAUGUGACUACACUCCAGCUUGUGUAGCCCAGAGCUGAAGAGACUCCCCCGCAUCGAGUUGAAACUGCCCUUACCCAGUCCAUAGAUAGGAGAAUGAGAAGUCUGGUGAACAGGGACCAUCACUAAAAAAAAAUUAAAAAGACCCUUGCCUGCUUCUCUGCAGCCUCAGAGUCAUCAUAUUGAUGCCAGUGGCUCUUUACAUAUGAUGGGGACUUGAAAUGUUCUUUAGCAACCCACCCAAACUGCCUACAGCUCAGGACUCUGAUUCUAACUCAUCUUAACCCUAGGACUGCUUGUGUGCACUGCGCCCUUCUCCAGCCGGACUAAGCUUGUCAGGCUCUGCAAGGAACUGGGUUCACUGUCCCUGGCAAUCACCCAUGCUAUGCCUGGGUUGACGCCCUCAUGAGCCAACUGAGACAUCUGAUCCAAGCCCUCAGUCAUGGUCACGCCGGAAGCUUAAGAUCAGCCAGGUGGUGAAUUACACCACAGAAACUGGACACCCUUCCCGCCCCUCCCCAGGAGCCCUAGCUGCUAAGUUUCUAUCAGUGUGAAACUUGAAGUGGCCCAGAUGCCCUUAAAGCAUCUAGUUUUGGGGGCUGGAGAGAUGGCUCAGUGGUUAGAGCAC